rnacentral:rRNA from 1 species
GAACGCUGGCGGUGCGCCUUAUGCAUGCAAGUCGAGCGAAGCUUUUCAGUAGUUUACUACAGAAAAUGACUGAGCGGCGAACGGGUGAGUAACGCGUGAGCAACCUACCUUAGUUACUGGGAUAGCCCGAGGAAACUCGGAUUAAUACCGGAUAUUCUUAUUUAAUCACAUGAUUUUUUAAGGAAAGGUCAGCCGAACUAAGAUGGGCUCGCGUUCUAUCAGCUAGUUGGUAGGGUAAUGGCCUACCAAGGCUACGACGGAUAGCUGGUCUGAGAGGACGAUCAGCCACACUGGGACUGAGACACGGCCCAGACUCCUACGGGAGGCUGCAGCAGGGAAUAUUGCGCAAUGAGCGAAAGCUUGACGCAGCGACACCGCGUGUGGGAUGACGGAUCUAGGUUUGUAAACCACUUUCAGGAGGGAAGAAAAUGACGGUACCUCCACAAGAAGCCCCGGCCAA